rnacentral:rRNA from 1 species
GAGUUUGAUCUUGGCUCAGGAUGAACGCUGGCGGCGUGCCUAAUACAUGCAAGUAGAACGCUGAAGCUUGGUGCUUGCACCGAGCGGAUGAGUUGCGAACGGGUGAGUAACGCGUAGGUAACCUGCCUGGUAGCGGGGGAUAACUAUUGGAAACGAUAGCUAAUACCGCAUAACAGUAGAUAUUGCAUGAUAUCUGCUUGAAAGGUGCAAUUGCAUCACUACCAGAUGGACCUGCGUUGUAUUAGCUAGUUGGUGAGGUAACGGCUCACCAAGGCGACGAUACAUAGCCGACCUGAGAGGGUGAUCGGCCACACUGGGACUGAGACACGGCCCAGACUCCUACGGGAGGCAGCAGUAGGGAAUCUUCGGCAAUGGGGGAACCCUGACCGAGCAACGCCGCGUGAGUGAAGAAGGUUUUCGGAUCGUAAAGCUCUGUUGUAAGAGAAGAACGAGUGUGAGAGUGGAAAGUUCACACUGUGACGGUAUCUUACCAG